ACGAAGUUUUUCGGAACUUAGUGGCGGACGGGUGAGUAACGCGUGAGAAUCUGCCUUAAGGAUUGGGACAACAGUGGGAAACCGCUGCUAAUACCAAAUAUGCCUUUUAGUGAAACGGGUUUUACCCGCCUUAAGAUGAGCUCGCGUCUGAUUAGCUAGUUGGUGUGGUAAGAGCGCACCAAGGCAACGAUCAGUAGCUGGUCUGAGAGGACGACCAGCCACACUGGGACUGAGACACGGCCCAGACUCCUACGGGAGGCAGCAGUGAGGAAUUUUCCGCAAUGGGCGAAAGCCUGACGGAGCAAUACCGCGUGAGGGAGGAAGGUUCUUGGAUUGUAAACCUCUUUUCUCAGAGAAGAAUAAUGACGGUAUCUGAGGAAUAAGCAUCGGCUAACUCCGUGCCAGCAGCCGCGGUAAUACGGAGGAUGCAAGCGUUAUCCGGAAUGAUUGGGCGUAAAGGGUCUGUAGGUGGUUGUUCAAGUCUGCUGUUAAAGCGUCUGGCUUAACCAGAUAAAGGCGGUGGAAACUGAACGACUAGAGUGCGGUAGGGGUAGAGGGAAUUCCCAGUGUAGCGGUGAAAUGCGUAGAUAUUGGGAAGAACACCUGUGGCGAAAGCGCUCUACUGGACCGCGACUGACACUGAUGGACGAAAGCUAGGGGAGCGAAUGGGAUUAGAUACCCCAGUAGUCCUAGCCGUA
rnacentral:rRNA from 1 species